rnacentral:rRNA from 1 species
GUGGGGAAUAUUGGACAAUGGGCGAAAGCCUGAUCCAGCCAUGCCGCGUGUGUGAAGAAGGUCUUCGGAUUGUAAAGCACUUUAAGUUGGGAGGAAGGGCAGUAAGUUAAUACCUUGCUGUUUUGACGUUACCGACAGAAUAAGCACCGGCUAACUUCGUGCCAGCAGCCGCGGUAAUACGAAGGGUGCAAGCGUUAAUCGGAAUUACUGGGCGUAAAGCGCGCGUAGGUGGUUCAGCAAGUUGGAGGUGAAAUCCCCGGGCUCAACCUGGGAACUGCCUCCAAAACUACUGGGCUAGAGUACGGUAGAGGGUAGUGGAAUUUCCUGUGUAGCGGUGAAAUGCGUAGAUAUAGGAAGGAACACCAGUGGCGAAGGCAACUACCUGGACUGAUACUGACACUGAGGUGCGAAAGCGUGGGGAGCAAACAGGAUUAGAAACCCCUGUAGUCC